CAGUAGCCGCGGUAAUACGUAGGUGGCAAGCGUUGUCCGGAAUUAUUGGGCGUAAGGGGCUCGCAGGCGGUUUCUUAAGUCUGAUGUGAAAGCCCCCGGCUCAACCGGGGAGGGUCAUUGGAAACUGGGAAACUUGAGUGCAGAAGAGGAGAGUGGAAUUCCACGUGUAGCGGUGAAAUGCGUAGGGAUGUGGAGGAACACCAGUGGCGAAGGCGACUCUCUGGUCUGUAACUGACGCUGAGGAGCGAAAGCGUGGGGAGCGAACAGGAUUAGAUACCCGGGUAGUCCCUGUCUCUUAUAC
rnacentral:rRNA from 1 species